UACGUAGGGUGCGAGCGUUGUCCGGAAUUAUUGGGCGUAAAGAGCUCGUAGGCGGCUUGUCACGUCGGGUGUGAAAGCCCGGGGCUUAACCCCGGGUCUGCAUUCGAUACGGGCUAGCUAGAGUGUGGUAGGGGAGAUCGGAAUUCCUGGUGUAGCGGUGAAAUGCGCAGAUAUCAGGAGGAACGCCGGUGGCGAAGGCGGAUCUCUGGGCCAUUACUGACGCUGAGGAGCGAAAGCGUGGGGAGCGAACAGG
rnacentral:rRNA from 1 species